UUUCCCUCUUUUUACCUUUUGAAAAAGCUUUCAGAACAUUGUUUGUUGGUGAUUUGGCGUGUCCUGACACGCAAGGACAAUGCGAAGGACAUCAUUAGAUAAGUCCUUCUAUAUAUAUAUAAUCUCAGGGUUUUUUGUCUCGAGACAAAAGGACUUACUACUGCUCUUCUUUCUUUUUGCCUGCUUAAUGUAGUUCUCAUCAUCAACGCCAUCUACCAUCCUCAAGAUGGAAGCUCACACGACAACACAUGAUGCUUUUAGGUGUGUAGUCUUGGGAGAAUUUCAUUGGGUAAUCCCAACCCAUGUGAAAAAAACUAAAAAUCUUUUUAUCUUGCCAAAGAUAUUACCUGACUUGUCAAUCAUUCAUUCAAAGUUCGGAUGUUUCAAUGAACUCACAAAGUUCACUUACU